CACACAUACACCCCCACACACAGUCUCCUGGGCGGGUCCAGUCUCAGCUCAUGUCCCGGCCCCCGGCCCAUACACAGUCUCCUGGGCGGGUCCAGUCUCAGCUCAUGUCCCGGCCCCCGGCCCAUACACAGUCUCCUGGGCGGGUCCAGUCUCAGCUCAUGUCCCGGCCCCCGGCCCAUACACAGUCUCCUGGGCGGGUCCAGUCUCAGCUCAUGUCCCGGCCCCCGGCCCAUACACAGUCUCCUGGGCGGGUCCAGUCUCAGCUCAUGUCCCGGCCCCCGGCCCAUACACAGUCUCCUGGGCGGGUCCAGUCUCAGCUCAUGUCCCGGCCCCCGGCCCAUACACAGUCUCCUGGGCGGGUCCAGUCUCAGCUCAUGUCCCGGCCCCCGGCCCAUACACAGUCUCCUGGGCGGGUCCAGUCUCAGCUCAUGUCCCGGCCCCCGGCCCAUACACAGUCUCCUGGGCGGGUCCAGUCUCAGCUCAUGCAGGCCAUGCAGACUCAGUCACAGGCAGCGGCCGCUCCAACCCAGCAACAGCAGAGGCUCGCAACACAUCCUCACUCACACCCUCACACACACCCUCACUCACAUGCUCACACACACUUGCAGCAGGCGGGACAGGGGAUGUUGUUCCCCCAGCAACAGAGCACCAUCCACCCGGCACAGAAAGGGCUCAAGCAGAUACUACAUCCACAACCAUCACCACGGAUCAAAACUGAGCCUUUCAAUACAGGUCCUCUGAGGGAGAGCCCCUCCCCUCUGAUGAUACAUUCACAGUCCCCUUCCCAGCCCAAGAAACCUAACCAAAGGGUGAAAGAGGAGAAGCCGCUCCCCUCCCCGGUGCUGCCCCCCUCCCCCUUCAGCCCCGCCCAGCGACACCACAAACCACAAGACAACAAACACACACACAGAUCAGAUGUGAAGCUAUUGGACGGUUCUCGUCCUGGGCUCCGCCUCCCGGACUCCCCGGCCCCUCCCCCUUCCCAUCAGGACAGCAAACUGAAGCAGGAGGCUAAAACUCCCAUCACUGCCAAGAAGACACAGGUGUGAGAGAGUCAGAAUCAUACUAGAACAAAGCAUGUAGAUUCAGGACUUCAUUUAAAGGAGAAGUUUCCUUUUUUAUAUGUAAAUAGCAUAUUAUAGAAGGGUCCGUGUGAUUUCACAUGUUUUUGAGAAACCUGAGCAAAUCACUUCCUCAUCCUCGUUGUGUAGUAUAUGGGGGUCACGAAAAAACACGAACACGGGCUCCAAAAACACCCAAAUAUGUCCUUUUAUAAAGGACAAAGCUCUCAGUAUUGUAAUGCAGGUCUGUAGAUGUUGUACACAUGACGUUGUGUCAUUCUGAACUUCAGCUACAACGUUGUAUUCUAUUUUGUUCAACUAAAGAGAUAUUUCAAUGCACGCGCAUGUGUGUACUUCCUCGUUCCCAAACCCUUAGGGAGGCGUGGUUCAGAAGCACACUCCAGUCUGCAAUAAGGUGUCUGCUGUAAAAACACAGCUGGCGAUUACUCAUCGACAAUAAGGUGUCUGCUGUAAAAACACAGCUGGCGAUUACUCAUCUGCAAUAAGGUGUCUGCUGUAAAAACACACAGCUGGCGGUUACUAAAUACCAAGCUAGCUAGUUAUUUUUCCUUUCAAACCGCUACGCUACCGACAUGUCUGACUACGAAUACAAAAAGGAAAUGUUAGAAUUUGGGGCCGAGCCUUAUUUAUUUGAACCGGAAUACACCGACGAGGAUCUUUAGCAGAGAGCAAGAGAGCGAGGUGUUCAACCAGAAGCUGAGGCCCGACUCGGGACGGGUGGUGCACUGGUGAGCGAUGCCCACUGAAGACGAGUGACUUUGCUGCGUGGAGUGGGACCUGCUUGUGCCAGCCUUGUAAAAUCUAGAUGUGUCUGGUGACGAGACACCGUUGUCCCGCUAGCACACCCCACUCUGUGCAACAAGUGACAAUGACUUUUCAGCACGCAUCUUCCCUGCUCUCCUAGAAACGUUUUCAAUUUCAAAUUGAGUAAUGGGAGAACGCGUGUAAAACUUUUAUUUCACUGUUGAAGAACAUAUAAUAACAUAAUGACAGUAACAUGGACUACAUGGUGGAUGGGAGGAUACAUAUUGACAGUAACAUGGACUACAUAGUGGAUGGGAGGAUACAUAUUGACAGUAACAUGGACUACAUGGAGGAUUGGAGAAUACAUAUUGACAGUAACAUGGACUACAUGGAGGAUACAUAUUGACAGUAACAUGGGCUACAUGGUGGAUGGGAGAAUACAUAAUGACAGUAGCAUGGACUACAUGAUGGAUGGGAGGAUACAUAUUGACAGUAUCAGUUCAGUAACAUGGACUACAUUGUGGAUGGGAGGAUACAUAUUGACAGCAGCAUGGGCUACAUGGUAGAUGGGAGAAUACAUACUGACAGUAACAUGGACUACAUGGUAGAUGGGAGAAUACAUAUUGACAGUAACAUGGACUACAUGGAGGAUAGGAGAAUAAAUAUUGACAGUAACAUGGACUACAUGGAAGAUACAUAUUGACAGUAACAUGGGCCACAUGGUGGAUGGGAGAAUACAUAUUGACAGUAACAUGGACUACAUGGAGGAUACAUAUUGACAGUAACAUGGGCUACAUGGUGGAUGGGAGAAUACAUAUUGACAGUAGCAUGGACUACAUGGUAGAUGGGAGAAUACAUAUUGACAGUAACAUGGACUACAUGGAGGAUACAUAUUGACAGUAACAUGGCCUACAUGGUGGAUGGGAGGAUACAUAUUGACAGUAGCAUGGACUACAUGGUAGAUGGGAGGAUACAUAUUGACAGUAACAUGGACUACAUGGUGGAUGGGAGGAUACAUAUUGACAGUAACAUGGACUACAUGGUAGAUGGGAGGAUACAUAUUGACAGUAACAUGGACUACAUGGUGGAUGGGAGGAUACAUAUUGACAAUAUCAGUUCAGUAACAUGGACUAANNNNNNNNNNNNNNNNNNNNNNNNNNNNNNNNNNNNNNNNNNNNNNNNNNNNNNNNNNNNNNNNNNNNNNNNNNNNNNNNNNNNNNNNNNNNNNNNNNNNUGGUGCUGACACCGAUAUGGUGCUGACUCCAACAUGUUGCAUUCUGACAUAGACAUGAUGCUGACACAGACAUGGUGCUGUCUGA
rnacentral:lncRNA from 8 species